rnacentral:rRNA from 1 species
UACGAAGGGGGCUAGCGUUGCUCGGAAUCACUGGGCGUAAAGCGCACGUAGGCGGCUUACUAAGUCAGGGGUGAAAUCCUGGAGCUCAACCUCGGAACUGCCUUUGAUACUGCAAAUCUCGAGUCCGGAAGAGGUGAGUGGAAUUCCUGGUGUAGAGGUGAAAUUCGUAGAUAUUCGGAAGAACACCAGUGGCGAAGGCGGCUCACUGGACGACUGUUGACGCUGAGGUGCGAAAGCGUGGGGAGCAAACAGG